UNAGCGGAGGAAAAGAAACUAACAAGGAUUCCCCUAGUAACUGCGAGUGAAGCGGGAAAAAGCUCAAAUUUGGAAUCUGGUGNUCUUUGGCCAUNCGAGNNGUNNUUUAGAGAAGCGUCUUCCGCGCUGGACCGUGCACAAGUCUCCUGGAAUGGAGCGUCAUAGAGGGNGAGAAUCCCGUCUUUGGCAUGGAAUCCCAGGGCUUCUGUGAUGCGCUCUCGACGAGUCGAGUUGUUNGGGAAUGCAGCUCAAAAAUGGGUGGUGAACUCCAUCUAAAGCUAAAUAUUGGCGAGAGACCGAUAGCGAACAAGUCCCGUGAGGGAAAGAUGAAAAGCACUUUGGAAAGAGAGUGAAACAGUACGUGAAAUUGUUGAAAGGGAAACGCUUGAAGUCAGUCGCGUCGACCGAGACUCAGCCUUGCCUCGGCUUGGUGUACUUCUCGGCUUGACGGGGUCAGCA
rnacentral:rRNA from 1 species